CGCUGUUGCUAAAGAUGAAUAGAAACGGCAUCGUUUCCUCGUCUGUGUAAAGCUCU
rnacentral:misc_RNA from 1 species